UAAAGUUGUUGCAGUUAAGAAGCUCGUAGUUGAAUUUCGGGGUUAGUAGGUUGGUCGUGCCACUGGUAUGUACUGGCUUUACUGAUUCCUCCUUCUUGAAGAACUGUAAUGUCAUUAAUUUGAUGUUGCAGGGAAACAGGACUGUUACUUUGAAAAAAUUAGAGUGUUUAAAGCAGUCUAACGCUUGAAUACAUUAGCAUGGAAUAAUGAAAUAGGACGUUUGACCCUAUUUUGUUGGUUUCUAGGAUCGACGUAAUGAUUAAUAGGG
rnacentral:rRNA from 1 species